rnacentral:rRNA from 1 species
AGUAACUGCGAGUGAAGUGGCAAAAGCUCAAAUUUGAAAUCCGGUACCUCUCGGUGCCUGAGUUGUAAUUUGGAGAGACAAAUUUGGUUGAUGGCGCCGGCCUAAGUUCCUUUGAACAGGACAACAUAGAGGGUGAGAAUCCCGUUCCUGGCUGGAUGUUCCAUCGCAUUUCUAAAUUGUCUUCGACGAGUCGAGUUGUUUGGGAAUGCAGCUCAAAAUGGGUGGUAAAUGUCAUCUAAAGCUAAAUAUUGGCGAGAGACCGAUAGCGCACAAGUAGAGUGAUCGAAAGAUGAAAAGCACUUUGAAAAGAGAGUCAAAAAGUACGUGAAAUUGCUGAAAGGGAAGCGCUUGAGACCAGACUCGAACCGUGGUGAUCAGCCGUGCUUUUGUGCGGUGUCACUUGCCACGGUUUGGGCCAGCAUCGGUUCUGGCGGUCGGAUAAAAGGUGGAGGAAUGUAGCUUCCUUCUGGGAGUGUUAAUUUAGCCACCACCACAAUGCGGCCAGCCGGGACCGAGGACCGCGCUUUUUUUUGGCUAGGAUGCUGGCGUAAUGGUCUUAAGCGACCCGUCUUGAAACACGGACCAAGGAGUCUAACAUCUAUGCGAGUGUUCGGGUGGAAAAACCCUUGCGCGAAAUGAAAGUGAACGGAGGUGGGAACCCGCAAGGGUGCACCAUCGACCGAUCCUGAAGUCUUCGGAAGGAUUUGAGUAGGAGCACAGAUGUUGGGACCCGAAAGAUGGUGAACUAUGCCUGAAUAGGGUGAAGCCAGAGGAAACUCU